GCUCAGUUGGUAGAGCAUGGCACUUGCAAUGCUAGGGUUGUGGGUUUGAUUCCCAU
rnacentral:tRNA from 1 species